UGCCGGGACCCGGAAUCGAACCAGGGUCUGCUAGUGUAGUGCUCUCCCAACUGAGCUAUCCCGAC
rnacentral:tRNA from 1 species